rnacentral:rRNA from 1 species
AUAGACCUACGGGAGGCAGCAGUAGGGAAUCUUCCACAAUGGGCGAAAGCCUGAUGGAGCAACGCCGUGUGGGUGAAGAAGGUCUUCGGAUCGUAAAACCCUGUUGUUAGAGAAGAAAGUGCGUGAGAGUAACUGUUCACGUUUCGACGGUAUCUAACCAGAAAGCCACGGCUAACUACGUGCCAGCAGCCGCGGUAAUACGUAGGUGGCAAGCGUUAUCCGGAUUUAUUGGGCGUAAAGAGAACGCAGGCGGUCUUUUAAGUCUGACGUGAAAGCCUUCGGCUUAACCGGAGUAGUGCACUGGA